UUGAGAUUGGGUACCAGGGAGGGAAAGCUCGCAUAGGAAGGAUAAGGUCGAAGCAAAAUCAAAAUGGCGAAAUCGAGUGCUGAUGAUGAGGAGCUAAGGCGAGCUUGCGAAGCUGCUGCAAUCGUAGGCUCAAAGGAGAAGAUCGUGAUAUCGAUUCGCGUCGCUGAAAGCCGCUGGAAAUAGGGCAACUCUGGGAAAUUCGCCCACCACAUGGCUAAAACCGAGAAUCCUUGAUCUCUGCUGCACGUCUUUUCCAUAAUCUGACAAAGAAGGUGCAGGUUCUCUGGUUCUUAUGCGAGAACUAUGGUUUGUGCAGUGAUAUCAAAAGGUCAUAAAACUGAAGCUUUUCUACGAGUAUUGAAGUAUUCUAGUGGGGGAGUUAUUGAGCCUUCUAAAUUGUACAAGCUGAAGCAUCUUUCAAGGGUGGAGGUUAUAACUAAUGAUCCCUACUUUUACAUUG